rnacentral:rRNA from 1 species
AGCGAACGCUGGCGGCAGGCUUAACACAUGCAAGUCGAACGGGCGUAGCAAUACGUCAGUGGCAGACGGGUGAGUAACGCGUGGGAACGUACCUUUUGGUUCGGAACAACCCAGGGAAACUUGGGCUAAUACCGGAUAAGCCCCUUACGGGGAAAGAUUUAUCGCCGAAAGAUCGGCCCGCGUCUGAUUAGCUAGUUGGUGUGGUAACGGCGCACCAAGGCGACGAUCAGUAGCUGGUCUGAGAGGAUGAUCAGCCACAUUGGGACUGAGACACGGCCCAAACUCCUACGGGAGGCAGCAGUGGGGAAUAUUGGACAAUGGGCGCAAGCCUGAUCCAGCCAUGCCGCGUGAGUGAUGAAGGCCCUAGGGUUGUAAAGCUCUUUUGUGCGGGAAGAUAAUGACGGUACCGACAAGAAU